GCUGUAUGAAUUUGCUUUACUGGAAUCCCAAAGGGCCUUGUGAGAAACCGGAUCAAGGUGCCAGAGGUCUUCACUACGGAGAAAAGAGAUUUAUUACUAAUGGGUGUUAUGAAGAAGUGACAUGACUUGAAAUUAUUUCAAAAGCUACCUAUGUUAAAUGAAACCACUUUUCCCCUGUUGUCCUACCACCUAAUGUAAAACCCGUUUUACCCACGAAAUGUACCUGCAAGAAGUCAACAGUCUUUUAGAUGGAGGCAAUGGAAGCAGGGAGACGGGUAGAAUGCUGAGAAAUCUGGACACC
rnacentral:lncRNA from 1 species